GUCCUGCUGUGGGAGGAGGCUAAACACUGCGGGCAGUACUGGCAGGUGAGUGUUUCUCAUUGAAGUCAAAUGUUAACAAGUUAAAUAUAAAGCAAGUCAUAAAAGGUUUGACUUUAGUUAAGACGUUACCCUACUCUUAAAAGACGUGGCUAUGCUUUUCUGAAAGAGGUUUUCCCCUUUUGCAAGCACGUGUUUCUCUAGAAUUUCAGCACUAACUACAAUUAUCCAAAACAACUUUCAAAAGUGUCCUUCUAAUGCAUCUUUUCCAUCGUAGGGACACUGUUUGCUUUGUUUUAAUUUUGAAGUGGCAGAUGGGGUUGUUCAGAAGGAAAAUAUUGGGAGAAGAUAUUUAGUUGCUUAUAUGAGAUAACUGAUCAAGCAUUGGUUCAGCUGAAUGAACCGUAGCCUCUCAUGGACUGGCAAAGCAGCUGCACUGAAAUAGCAAUGCAGCAGCCACUGGGCUGCUGGUGAGCCGCCCUCCUAACGCGGCACAGAGUUGGCAUUUCAGCUGCACUUCACCCAGCCACUGCUGUCAAUCUGCUCGCUCCUCUCAUUUCCUCAGGACACCCUCUAAGUGUUGAGUUCCCUUUUCUUAUUGUUGCAGAAACAUGUUUCUUCUCCAGUCCAGAUUUAUGUAUGGCUUCAGCUUACAGUAUUUAUGUAACCACAGCGGCAGCCAGCAGCUAUGGUUUCGGUAACAGCUGGGCUCUGUUGAAUAGCACCUCCCCUGCGCUACCACUGCCACACUGCAGCGGCUCUGUAAAAGGCAUUCUGCACUUCCAUCUGAAGAGCCCCCUUCUUCCUGGGGGCAGCACUACCACAUUAAUGAACUGAUUUUUAUACAUCAUUUUUACCUGAUUUCAAUUAUUUUUAAGAAAAUAAACAGCACCGUUGCUCUGAAUGUUAUCAUUUCAUAAUUUAACUCCAGCUGUGGACAUGGCUAUGGCGCAAUGGAAAUGGCUUCAGCUCUGUUAAGCGUGUUUGUGAAUGGAGCCAGCCUUGUUUGCAUCCCUAGUUUUAUUUCCCUUAUCUAUCAUAGCAACAAUAACAAACCUGUUGUGAUGUAUCUUGGGAAACUAUCUGUAUGAACUGUAUCGCACACGUUGCAGGGUGAAGUGUUGAGAACUGUGUUCUACCCUUUAAAUAAAUCUGGAAACUUUCAGCAGCCCUUAUAUGCCCACCUGAGAGAAUUCUAGGUAGUACCUGCAAAGCUGACUGGGUUUCCUCAGCAAAAUUAUGCUAUAGCCCCCUGCGCCAGGAGUGAUGCCGGACACUCCACUGAGGCUAAAUUAUAGAUAUUAACAACAACCAGCCUUAACAAAAGGAGGGGGUUGUUUUGUUUUCUUACUCAUGCCUGGGAAAGGCAGUCAUUGCAUUUACCUUCUAAGUUCAGUGUCUAACAACAGGGGAGUUAGAGGGUUUUCUUCCCAGAAGCAUGUUGCAGGUGAGAUGUGGUAGAAAACCAGCAUUGUGCUGGCCUUUCUCGGUACUUUAAGACUUCUAUGAGUCAUUUCUUAACUCAGAAUGAUGAAUAUUCGCACCAGAUUUACAAACAAGCCGUUCAGUAGUAGUCCUAAUUCUAGAAGGUGGACUUUUUACAGACUGUCACCUCCUACUGCUUUGGCAACAUGAAUAAAUGAGGACCAAGAGACAAGAUUCUCUUCUUUGAGCUCCCUGAAAAUAUGACCUCUAGUAAUUUUACUGAUGUACUGCCCAUUCCCUCAGGCAGCGAACUUGACUGGUUAAAUGCAUUGUGUGUGAUGAUCCCUGUGCUCCUGGUGUGCGUUAACUUCAAAAUAAUUAGAAGUUGCUUUAUUUAUCUGUACCAAUCCAUAUUACUACAGCACAUCUAUAGUAAUUCACACUUUGUCAGAAAUCUGUUCUCAACUUCUUUAACUUUGUCCCAGUGCAAUAGGCCAUAAAAACCUUUUUCUCCUUGCCUUGGGACUCUUUAAAUAAAAACAAACACAUACAGAAUGUUAUCUGCAAUCCAGUAAACCCAGCCAGGUUGAUUUAACUUGAUGAUGUCCCACCCAUGUUUUUGAGGGGUCAUGCCAGUUCAGAAACACCUUUGUCAAAUCCUUUCUAUGGCAGCAUAUAAUAACUUACAGUAGUGAAUGAAUCACGUGCUUGGGGAAACAUAAAGCUUCAGUGCAUAUGAGAUCCCAAGGAAAGACUACAACAGGUGAUUUGAGCACUAACAAAGCUGAAUUAACUGACCUGUUACCAUCAGAUAUUACUGGAUAUCUGAAAAGGUAAAAAUGUUCAGUUCUUCUAACUACAUCGUACAGAUACAGUCAAAACUGAUUAUUUUUCUGACCAAAGAUAAGCCACUUGCACAUCUCCUUCAAUGUUUUUUUUUUUUUUUUCCACAACAUGUAUCUGAAGUAUCUCAGGUUAGUUCUACAUGAUGCAGGAAAAUAUCACAGUAUACCUGAUGCUGCUGCGUAGUGACAGCUGGUUGAUAAGUAUGUGAUUAUUAAGUUAUUUUUUAUGAAGUUCACUGUUUAACAACUGAUCAGCCAUAACGUAUUUAUUAUGGCAUGUAAGUCUAUAAAGUAUCAAUAAUGUAGAGUGAUUUAUUAUAGAGUAAUACUGAAGCAGCCUGUGGUAGUGUAGGUAGUGCCUCUGAAGCACAUGGUUUAUCAUGUCCUUACAACAACCUCACCCCUGCUCAUAUUUUCAAAAGAAGGAUGAAGUAUUAUAAUAGUUUAUUGUUUCAUUUUAUUUAAAAAUAGGACUUCUGCUUUCCCAAGGCUGUCAGGUGUAACUUAUUUCUCAAGGCAACGACAGUUACUGUUUGCAGCUGAUACCCAGUCACUCCAUUAGACAGCAAAAGCCCUGCAGCAAGCGUUCUGUUUUGUGGUAAGCUCAUGAUACAGUCACAGUAAGGAGAUACCUCAGGGGUGCUUUGAAGACGGUAAGGAUCUACUUAAUGACAAGUAUAUUCUUAUUUUUCUGUGGCUUCAGCUUCUCAGAGAUCUGAAGUUGGAGUCAUUUGUUUGUUUCACUGUUGUCAAAUUCACAUUGUCAAAUGUUUGUAUCUCUAAUGUGAAUUAUAGGACUUAUUUGUGUAUGUGUGUCUUCAGUUGCAGGUGCGAUUCUUCGCUAAACAACAGAUACAGCGUGGCAAGUGUUGAUAGAUAUUAACAUCAGUGCAGGUGUAGAACUUACACCAUAUGCAGAACCAGCACUUUCUUGCAGUCCCUGGGCUGAUGGGGAAACCCCUCUGUCUCAAAGCAAGCCACAUGUGAGGGUUUUGAACCAGCAUGCUCAAUAGAGACCUGUGAUAUCCACAUCUAAAUCUGCUCUGGUUACGCUCAGUACUCAAUUAGCAUGCUUCCACUUGGGUGUUUAUGAUUUUUGGUGCAUCGGUUGUUCCUUCUAUACUGCUGAAUCAGUAAGGCUGCCUGGCUGUUGCCACAGUGGAAGGUGUAUUUAAUUCAGUGACUGUGCUGUGACAUACAAAGAGGUGUUGUUUCUGAGAGCUCUUCUAGUCAUGGAUUCUGAAGAACUACAACCAGAAAGCUGUUAGUUUCAAACGCUUUGCAGUAAGUGUUUCAUUUACUACCAAAUGAAUGUCUGUUAAAAAAGGAUAUAUAUGUUUUCUUCCAAAAAACCUCACUUGUGGAUGGUAGCACAGACCACCUUCACAGCUCCCCUGGACAAAGCUAGGCAGCUGAGUAUUAAAGACCAGGGAUCCCAAAUAAUAACUAUUUGCACCCAAAGAUUUUACUGCUAUGUAUUUCCUGAUACCACAGUUAUUUCCUUUGGUCUUCUGCAUUCAUCCUCGUUAAAUGUGGUGUUCGUGCCAGAACACACAGAAAGCUCUUUAAUUAUAGUAUCUACAAAUCAUCUUUUCUCUCCACAGUAUCCCUAGCUUGCUCUUACAGAUUUCCGUAACCACCAGGAAUGCUGGAUGCCAGGGAGGAUGCAGAACCCAAGGAAAUCAAAAGGAGCCAUGAGUGUACUCUACAGGGCAAUGGCAGUAUUUGCCAGCUAUGGCUGCAAUACGUAUACACGGAAAGGAGAAAGUACAUGAAGUUCUACUUAAGGUUUUCCUAUGAGCUUCUACGGUUUUCUCUGGGAGCAUCACGAAGAGUUAGGCAACUCCAGAUUGAAAGACCCUGGCCUCAAGGGCUGAAGAAUAGAGCUACAUUGUAACAUCCUGAUACUUGCUGACAAUUUUCUCCCUUAAUAAAACGUUGCCGCUGUCCUCUCCAUUUAUAGCAUCAAAGAGAACCCUUCUAACCUCCUAAAUCCUGUUUUAGUGUCGUAGGCUACAGAUUAUUAGCCAAAGCACAACUGCAUUUGAUGUAGUUAUAUCAGGAAGAAACAUAAGUAACAUUUAUAAUGCAGAAAUACUUAAAAAAAUUUAUUAAAAUUUAUUAAAAUAUGUUUAAAAUUAAAAUUUAAAGCAUUUAAACUUCUGUGUGAGCUCCGAGGCAGCUCUGUCUUUGUGUAUUACUGAAUACGAAAUGCUGAGAGGAAUUGAUGUGGCGGUCUCCUUUUUCUCUAGUUACCCUCCUGCAGCACAGCGCAGCCCGCUGCCCCUACAGGACAGCCUGCUUCAUGACGUUGUCCCUCAAGAUCUCAUUCCACUGUUAAUUUUUUUGUUGUUGUUGUUAGAAUAAAACACCUUGAAGUCCUGCUCUGA